ACUCAGUUCAGAUUGCAGGCCGCAACCCGCCUGCAUGAAGUCGGAAUUGCUAGUAAUCGCGGAUCAGCAUGCCGCGGUGAAUACGUUCCCGGGCCUUGUACACACCGCCCGUCACACCAUGGGAGCCGGGAAUGCCCGAAGUCGGUAGCCUAACCGUAAGGAGGGCGCCGCCGAAGGUGGGAUUGAUGACUGGGGUGAAGUCGUAACAAGGUACC
rnacentral:rRNA from 1 species